rnacentral:rRNA from 1 species
GAUGGGCAUGCGUUGUAUUAGCUGGUUGGUGAGGUAACGGCUCACCAAGGCGACGAUACAUAGGGGGACUGAGAGGUUAACCCCCCACAUUGGUACUGAGACACGGACCAAACUCCUACGGGAGGCAGCAGUGAGGAAUAUUGGUCAAUGGACGCAAGUCUGAACCAGCCAUGCCGCGUGCAGGAAGACGGCUCUAUGAGUUGUAAACUGCUUUUGUACGAGGGUAAAUGCAGGUACGUGUAUCUGUUUGAAAGUAUCGUACGAAUAAGGAUCGGCUAACUCCGUGCCAGCAGCCGCGGUAAUACGGAGGAUCCAAGCGUUAUCCGGAUUUAUUGGGUUUAAAGGGUGCGUAGGCGGUUUUAUAAGUUAGAGGUGAAAUCUCGGGGCUCAACUCCGAAAUUGCCUCUAAUACUGUAGGACUAGAGAGUAGUUGCGGUAGGCGGAAUGUAUGGUGUAGCGGUGAAAUGCUUAGAGAUCAUACAGAACACCGAUUGCGAAGGCAGCUUACCAAACUAUAUCUGACGUUGAGGCACGAAAGCGUGGGGAGCAAACAGGAUUAGAUACCCUGGUAGUCCACGCAGUAAACGAUGAUAACUCGUUGUCGGCGAUACACAGUCGGUG